UACGUAGGGUGCAAGCGUUAAUCGGAAUUACUGGGCGUAAAGCGUGCGCAGGCGGUUUUGUAAGUCUGUCGUGAAAUCCCCGGGCUCAACCUGGGAAUUGCGAUGGAGACUGCAAGGCUAGAAUCUGGCAGAGGGGGGUAGAAUUCCACGUGUAGCAGUGAAAUGCGUAGAGAUGUGGAGGAACACCGAUGGCGCAAGGCAGCCCCCUGGGUCAAGAUUGACGCUCAUGCACGAA
rnacentral:rRNA from 1 species